UGCGGCUCUAUACAUGCAGUCGAGCGAAUGGAUUAAGAGCUUGCUCUUAUGAAGUUAGCGGCGGACGGGUGAGUAACACGUGGGUAACCUGCCCAUAAGACUGGGAUAACUCCGGGAAACCGGGGCUAAUACCGGAUAACAUUUUGAACCGCAUGGUUCGAAAUUGAAAGGCGGCUUCGGCUGUCACUUAUGGAUGGACCCGCGUCGCAUUAGCUAGUUGGUGAGGUAACGGCUCACCAAGGCAACGAUGCGUAGCCGACCUGAGAGGGUGAUCGGCCACACUGGGACUGAGACACGGCCCAGACUCCUACGGGAGGCAGCAGUAGGGAAUCUUCCGCAAUGGACGAAAGUCUGACGGAGCAACGCCGCGUGAGUGAUGAAGGCUUUCGGGUCGUAAAACUCUGUUGUUAGGGAAGAACAAGUGCUAGUUGAAUAAGCUGGCACCUUGACGGUACCUAACCAGAAAGCCACGGCUAACUACGUGCCAGCAGCCGCGGUAAUACGUAGGUGGCAAGCGUUAUCCGGAAUUAUUGGGCGUAAAGCGCGCGCAGGUGGUUUCUUAAGUCUGAUGUGAAAGCCCACGGCUCAACCGUGGAGGGUCAUUGGAAACUGGGAGACUUGAGUGCAGAAGAGGAAAGUGGAAUUCCAUGUGUAGCGGUGAAAUGCGUAGAGAUAUGGAGGAACACCAGUGGCGAAGGCGACUUUCUGGUCUGUAACUGACACUGAGGCGCGAAAGCGUGGGGAGCAAACAGGAUUAG
rnacentral:rRNA from 1 species